rnacentral:lncRNA from 1 species
GGAGACAGUAAGAGAUGAAGAGAUGCUACUAAGCCCUCUGAAUACCAAACUGGAAUAAUAAUAAAGCUGUCUUUUAAAAUAACAUGCUUGUGCCUGUCAGUAGCUGCUUUAUUUGAGUUUUUCAUUGCUUUGUUUAUAUUAGUGCCCCCUCCCUCCUGGGUGCCUCUAGAAUUAAACAAGCAGGUAUUUACCACCAACUUAAUCUUUAGUUUUAAAAAUAUAGACCAAACUCUAAGGUUCUCUAAAUUUUUUAUAUUUAUUUAUUGCAGAAAAAUAUACAAAGAUAUUUACAAAACAAUCAUAAAAAUAUGAAUGCAUUUAGACACCGGAUCUAUUUGCAUUUUACCAUGGGUCCUCAAUAAAUAAAUAGAAUGUUGUUUUUUGUAUUUUAAGUUUUUUUUUGUUUUUCCCCUCAGAGGAAGGAUGAAAAAAAGAAUUAACUGACUAUGGUUUUGCAGGCCAGUUUGAUCCCAGUAUUUUUAUUUCUAAAGGUGUUCUUAUAGUUCCUCUGAUUGUUACCAUUUUAAAAUAGAGAAAGUCCAUAGUGAUGCCUUUCCUUUCAGUGGCUGAUUGGCACGACCUCUUGAGAAUGCAUGCAUGAAAAAAAUAAAAAUAAAAACAUUCUUCGUCA